CUUGGUCAUUUAGAGGAAGUAAAAGUCGUAACAAGGUCUCCGUUGGUGAACCAGCGGAGGGAUCAUUACAGAGUUGAAAAACUCCCUAACCCUUGUGUAUUUUACCACUGUCUGUUGCUUUGGCCGGCGGCCCCGGGGGGGCCUCCAGCCUGCGUCGCUCGACGCUAGGCGCCUGCCAAAGAACCAAACACUGCAAUUUUGGCAUCUGAGUACUACAAAAAUAAUUAAAACUUUCAACAACGGAUCUCUUGGUUCUGGCAUCGAUGAAGAACGCAGCGAAAUGCGAUAAGUAAUGUGAAUUGCAGAAUUCAGUGAAUCAUCGAAUCUUUGAACGCACAUUGCGCCUAUUAGUAUUCUAGUAGGCAUGCCUGUUCGAGCGUCAUUUCAACCCUCAAGCGCUGUUUUGCUUGGUGUUGGGGCCCUACAGGACAUGUAGGCCCUGAAAAACAGUGGCGGACCUGCUCGGUGCCCUAAGCGUAGUAUUUUUUCUCGCUUCGGUGGUGUCAGCCUGUGUCUUGCCAACAAUCCACUGUAUUUUACAAGGUUGACCUCGGAUCAGGUAGGAAUACCCGCUGAACUUAAGCAUAUCAAUAAGCGGAGGA
rnacentral:rRNA from 1 species